rnacentral:rRNA from 1 species
GAUGAACGCUGGCGGCGUGCUUAAUACAUGCAAGUCGAACGAACAGACCAGAAGUUUGUUCCGUUGACGAUUGGCGCAGGGGGGUGUAACACGCGUGGGUAAUGUACUUCUAUGCGUGGUAUGCCUUGGGGACUCGGGCGCAUAUAGCGUAGAAUAUCUUGAAGCGCGUGGUUGAAUAGAGAAUUUCGGUUUUGCUGUCAGCUCGAGGUCGAUCCGCUCCGCAGUAGCUAGUUGGUAUGGUAACGGCUUACCAAGGCAACGAUGGGUAGCCGACGUGAGCGGGUGAUCGGCGACACUGGAAGUGAGACACGGUCCAGGCUCCUACGGGAGGCAGCGGUAGGGAAUCUUCGGCAAUGGGCGAAAGCUUGACGGAGCAACGCCGCGUGAGUGAUGAAGGUCUGCGGAUCGUAAAACUGUGUUAUUAGGGAAGAACAAAUGUGUAAGUAACUAUGCACGUCGUGACGGUACCUAAUCAGAAAGCCACGGCUAACUACGUG